GACGAACGCUGGCGGCGUGCCUAAUACAUGCAAGUCGAACGCAUUUUCUUUCACCGUAGCUUGCUACACCGACAGAAAAUGAGUGGCGAACGGGUGAGUAACACGUGGGCAACCUGCCCAUCAGCGGGGGAUAACACUUGGAAACAGGUGCUAAUACCGCAUAAUUCCAUUUACCGCAUGGUAGAGGGAUGAAAGGCGCUUUUGCGUCACUGAUGGAUGGACCCGCGGUGCAUUAGCUAGUUGGUGGGGUAACGGCCUACCAAGGCUGCGAUGCAUAGCCGACCUGAGAGGGUGAUCGGCCACACUGGGACUGAGACACGGCCCAGACUCCUACGGGAGGCAGCAGUAGGGAAUCUUCGGCAAUGGACGCAAGUCUGACCGAGCAACGCCGCGUGAGUGAAGAAGGGUUUCGGAUCGUAAAACUCUGUUGUUAGGGAAGAACAAGGAUGAGAGUGGAAAGUUCAUCCCUUGACGGUAUCUAACCAGAAAGCCACGGCUAACUACGUG
rnacentral:rRNA from 1 species